GCGAGGUGCAGUGGGGCAUUCCUGUAGUCCCAGCUACUUGGGAGGCUGAGGUAGGAGGACCUAGGAAUUCUGGGCUGUAGAACUGCCCCUGUAAGAUAGUUGGGCUGGGUAUAGAAUUCCAGUUUGGAAAUUGCUUUUCUGCGCUAUGCUGAUCAAGUGUCUGCACUAAGUUUAGCAUCAAUAUGGUGACCUCUCGAAGGCAGGGGACCACCAAAUUGCCUAAGGAGAGGUGAACUGGCCCAGGUCAGAGAUAGAGCAGGUCAAAACUCCUGUGCUGAUCAGUAGUGGGAUCAUGCCCAUGAAUAGCCACUGCACUCCAGACUGGGCAACAUAGUGAGACCUGUCUCUA
ensembl:misc_RNA Metazoa_SRP Metazoan signal recognition particle RNA